UCCGGGCGCGGUGGCGCGCGCCUGUAGUCCCAGCUACUCGGGAGGCUGAGGCAGGAGGAUCGCUUGAGCCCAGGAGUUCUGGGCUGUAGCGCGCUAUGCCGAUCGGGUGUCCGCACUAAGUUCGGCAUCAAUAUGGUGACCUCCCGGGAGCGAGGGACCACCAGGUUGCCUAAGGAAGGGUGAACCGGCCCAGGUCGGAAAGGGAGCAGGUCAAAACUCCCGUGCUGAUCAGUAGUGGGAUCGCGCCUGUGAAUAGCCACUGCACUCCAGCCUGGGCAACAGAGCGAGACCCCGUCUCUA
rnacentral:SRP_RNA from 1 species